rnacentral:rRNA from 1 species
GAUGAACGCUAGCUAUAGGCUUAACACAUGCAAGUCGAGGGGAAACGGCAUUAUGUGCUUGCACAUUUUGGACGUCGACCGGCGCACGGGUGAGUAUCGCGUAUCCAACCUGCCCUUUACUUGGGGAUACCCCGUUGAAAGACGGCCUAAUACCCGAUGUAAUUCAUUGAUGGCAUCAGAUAUGAAUAAAAGAUUUAUCGGUAAAGGAUGGGGAUGCGUCUGAUUAGCUUGUUGGUGAGGUAACGGCUCACCAAGGCGACGAUCAGUAGGGGUUCUGAGAGGAAGGUCCCCCACAUUGGAACUGAGACACGGUCCAAACUCCUACGGGAGGCAGCAGUGAGGAAUAUUGGUCAAUGGGCGCAAGCCUGAACCAGCCAAGUAGCGUGCAGGAAGACGGCCCUAUGGGUUGUAAACUGCUUUUAUACGAGAAUAAUUUGAUGCACGUGUGCGUUAUUGCAUGUAUCGCAUGAAUAAGGACCGGCUAAUUCCGUG